rnacentral:rRNA from 1 species
UUUAUGGAGAGUUUGAUCCUGGCUCAGGAUGAACGCUGGCGGCGUGCCUAAUACAUGCAAGUCGAGCGAACGGACGAGAAGCUUGCUUCUCUGAUGUUAGCGGCGGACGGGUGAGUAACACGUGGAUAACCUACCUAUAAGACUGGGAUAACUUCGGGAAACCGGAGCUAAUACCGGAUAAUAUUUUGAACCGCAUGGUUCAAAAGUGAAAGACGGUCUUGCUGUCACUUAUAGA